UAUGGCUCCAUCCUACUCUAAAUACUUUGGGCCAACAUUAUCUUAAUGAUACAGAGAAGUGAAAAGAUAUUCUAGGGAUAAAAAGAAAACAAAGGAAACAGAAUACUGUUAACACCUGAGUAACACAGGUGUUAGGAGUACUAACCCCCCUGGAAGUUGGAAAUCCACAUAUAACUUUGGACUCUCCCUAAACUUAACUACUAAUAGCCUACUGUUGACCAGAGCCUUAAUGAUAAAAUCAACAGUCGAUUAACACAUACUUUGCGUAUGUAUUAGAUACUGUAUUCUUAUAAUAAAGUAAGCUAUAGAAAAUGUAAUUAAGGAAAAUCAUAAAGAAAAUACAUUUAUCAUACUGUAAGUAUUUAUCAAAAGCAAAUCUGCAUAUAAGUGGACCAAUGCAGUGCAAACUUACAUUGUUCAAGGGUCAACUGUACUAUUAAUUUUCCAUUUCUAACUUCCAUUCUCCAUUUCAAUUAAGUCAUUUCUAUGUUCUAAAGUCAGAGUUUAAUUAAUCAUGGGAUUGGUACUAUUGGAGGGUUUGGUUAAAAUUAAUUCUACAGUCCAUUCUAACAGAGAAUUCAUUCAUUCGCUGAUUUACUAAGCUCCUUUAUAUGUAAGGUUACUGUGCUAGGCCCCAGAAUUAUAGCAGAGAAUGAAAGAGUUGCAAUAUCUGUGCUCAUGAAGUUUGUAUACACUAACUAGUACAACAGUUUGCAAAAUUACAGUGGUGAGAAAAAUUAUGAUGCCUCUUGGGCCAGUAACUAAGUAAACAAUUUAAUGCUUUUAGAAUUCUCUGACACUUUAAGUUCUCAACCACAGUCCAACCUGGCCUUAGACACAGGUUCUGUUGUGACUUUAUGACAGAGUGGAUUAAUUUACCUGAAUUCUGUGAAUCCUGUCAAACUAAAGACUUUUCCAGUACUGCUGAACUGAAGAAUGGGAAACAUAUGCAAUAGAAUAUAUAGUACUACAUGAAGAAUACCACUUCAACAAGGAAAUCAUUCAGAAUUCUGUGCAACACUGUGGCUAAUCUAAAAGAGAAGCCAGCUCUGACCGGCAGAUCCACAGCUCUUCCCAAAAAGCCUCAGAGACUCCUAGAGAUCCAUGGACCAUACUUUCAGCCCUGCUCUAUUAGAGGACUACAUGGCUUUGUUGACGAUAUCAAGUCAGUCUAGAAGUAAAGGAAGUUCUUCCUGAGAAAGCUGGAUGUUUAAGAUUGUAAGGGGCGCCUGGGUGGCUCACAUGGUUAAGCAUCGGACUUUGGCUCAGGUCACAUUUCGUGGUUUUUGAGAUUGAGCACCAUGUCAAUCUCUGUGCUGACAGCUCAGAGCCUGGAGCCUGCUUUGGAUUCUGUGUGUGUGUCCCUCUCUCAGCCCCUCCCCCCCUUGUGCUCUGUAUCUGUCUC